GUGGCGGUACCACGAAUAUUUGAAAUAGAAAAUGAAUUAAUAAAUAAAGUUGUACAGAAUUUGAACUAGUCCAUUGAAUUACCCCCUGUAUAUAGAUCACUCAAGUUGAGUGAAAUCGAAUUAGAGUUCAUGUGUUCAUUUGCUCCACUCCGCAUACCAAAAACAGAAUGAGUGCCCUGUGUAAUUCUGGCGCCGAGCGUAAAGCGACAGCCAAAUCUAAAAUCGAGUCUGUGCUUCGGGCAUCGACCGGGGUUCAAGUAUCGUUGACCCCUCAAUUCUUUUAUUGAUGUUCGGGAGGGAUACGAGUUGAUUGAUCGGGUCUUCAGAGGGAAAUGGAAUGCUUUCUCCGGACGGGUAGAGAAAGUGGUGUGUGUGAAGGCGAUUUUCGACCUUCGCGAAAUUCCACUUCGUGGAUUUCGCGUAAUUUCCGGCGACGAAGAUUUUCAUAUCUCGCGCCUAUUCUGAGGAUCUUAGAACUUGACUCGUCCACUUCGUUCUGGACUGCGGAAGAGGCGAGAUCGGUCCAAGUUUAGUCUACCGCGCCGUGGUGUGAAAGUUCAGUUAGCUUGUUAGGCAAGUUUAGUGCCGUAGUGCGAUUGUGCGAAAGGCGGUUUUUGAGUGCGAGUGUUGAACCUUGGAUGCGACAGGUUCGUGGCAAGUUGCGAGGCCCGUCACACCACACCAUCAAGUUAGCGACCGUUUUCGACCCCGCUUUCCAGCUUCGGAGUUUGGCCCGGCGAUACACGUGGGCCGGAGGGGCAGCGUCCGUCAAUACCGCGCCCUUGGCAGGGCGGCAACAUUCGAGUCCGGUUUCGUAUCGGCAACCAUACCGUGAUACAGUGAAGGAGUGAAGUUUCCGUGAAGAAAAGUUUUUGGAGUGAGCACCGACCGGUUUCGAACCGGAGUCCCCCGCGUGAGGAGCACGCUCGCUACCUCGACGCUACCGCUGGUGACGACCAGCGAGUCGACGGCUGUAUCCCGUCGGAAGACCACGAACCCCGUGUGAGGCGCCGUUGAACACGGCCACUGCAUGAUCCUGUAGGAGAAGCAGCAGGAGUCACCGCGUGUCAACCACGUGACCCGCCGCAGUAGCAACAAGCGACCGCCGAUGCCUCCACACAAGUAACGUUACAAACCGUGAGUACUCUUUUUUCUUUCCCAUGCGCAUGGUGAAUUUCGCCCCUAGUCUGGUCAAACCGCUAGCGUGGCCCCACCGAUCUUGUUUCCCGCGCCCUACCGUUCGCCCGCUUAUGCGACGUAGUCGGCUGCUAUAAAUUGCACGUUGUUCCGCCAAUGAACACCAACAGUCGCACCGCACAUUAGAUAAAUCAUUUUACCGCACAAAGAGAGAAGAGAGAGGUUAGAGAGCAAAGAGGGAAUGAAUAGAGCUAGGCCUACUGUGUAAGAUUGUAUCGAUAAAGCAGAAGUGAAUUGAGGUACAAAUAUAGAUCGAAAUGAAUUUGGGAUAGAUGUGGAAUUGGUAUUUUCGAUGCGUAAGAAUAAAUGAGUAGUUUGGGCAAAGUGGCGUUGAGUCGUUCUUUAGUGGGAGAAAUCUGAAGAGGUAGAUGUAGAAGGGCUUUCACGUUUCCGGUCGUUUUUUUUUCAGUUUUUAGGUCAUUUUCUGGGGAGGUUGGCCCUGAAUCCAACCAAAGGGACAUUUCUUCAAUCGAACGAAGAUUCGUUCGAGGUGUUUGGGUCUUGUUUUCCCGUGAUGAUAACCGUCGCGAGCCUUACUUUGUCGCCGGCGAAAAUCAAUUUCACGUACACCAAUUUCUUUAUUUGCACGACUUCGGUCGUGAGGCAUUUCGUUUCCCUGAUCAGCCAGCUCGUUUCCCGCCCAUUCAUUUGGGAAAAACUUGAACCCUACCCUGAAGGGUCUCAAUAAGGUCGGGCAACCAUCAAUCUCGGUAAGUGGUCUCCCUCGGGAGUGGCGCUUAAGCCAUUUUUACUUGUCACCGGGAAACUCGCAAGGCUGUCGGGUUACAUUUGGCG